UUCCAAAUCGAUGCAUCGCAGACUGAUUUCAUUCAGCUCUUUUUUUUUUUUAAUAAGUUACUGUCACAUUUUAUGGACACAAUUAUCUGAUUUUUUUCGAAAGUGCAUGUUGCGGAAUCCGCUUCAUUAGAUUCUCAUAAAUAUGAAAAAGAUUGAAAAAUUAACUUUUAGUAGCUGACAAAUGCUAUUUACAUGCAAUGUAUCUUUAGUCUGUGAAUCUGUGUAUUAGUUUGUAAAUUGUACAUAUUAAGGGAAUUAAGUUUCAAUUUAUAUUAAUAAAUUCCAGGCCUUCUGAAAGCUUACAUUUAAAUAAGACGAAUUUGGCAAGUUAGUAAUAUUUGUCUUAGGGUAUUUGAUUCGUGCAGAUAAAGUUCCACAUCUACCAUUCGAAUCGACAUCACUUUGAGGUGUGUCCAGGUCCAGGUCUUGCUAGUGAGCACCAUGGACAUGGUCGUGAGGUGGGCUGGGCUGGGUGCUCGGAUUGUCGGGUUACUGGGAUCUCUGGCCUAUUGGCACGCAUGACUGGCCAAAGGCAGUCGUCAGCUGCAGUUAAUGCAUCCGUAGGAGCUGUAGCUGGGCACCCACUCCACGCCAGCAAACCGAGGAACAUUACCGAUAUGUGUCGAUACUCUCGUAGCAAAUGUCAUUAAAAUUGCUCUUCAUAAAUCACACAGAAGGCACACACACACACACACACACACUCAUCGACUGAAGUAACAUGUUGCCAUCGCAGACGAGGCAGCAGUCCGAGCAUAACCUCAUUUUCCGGUCCAUGAACUAUGGAGCUGCCGGGCCAACGGGAGGGACACAUAGAUGCUCCUCGUCUCGUCUCGUGGAGACGGUGGAGUACGAUUGGAAGGCCAGACAUUGACUAUUUCCAGAUCUCUACGUUGGAGUGCAGUUCGAUUGUGCCACAUGCACAGAGUGCGUUAUGAUUUUUUGGAGGGCCUGCCACUAGGUAGCAGCUGGUUAAACGGCAGCCAACUCAAGAGGACUCUGCCAAGAAGCUCGAUGUGCCACAAAGGGCGGAUUUGAGGGUCUGGAACUGGCAGCUUUGGAGGUUUCGAGAGAUCAAACUGUAGAAGUUCAAUAAGAAAACUAGCGAGCAAAACCAAUUCGCCAGAAUACAAUUUUGAAAUAAGCUGAAAAUCUGUGGAAAUACUUUGCUUUAAGUACAAAGUUUCCCAACUUAUCUUAAAAACUGUCAAAGGUAAAAAGCCAUUUAGGCCAAUAAAACUUUAAAAUUAAAACCGCAGAUAGGGGGGUCGCUUUUCGAACAAUAAAUUACAAUUCGAUGUUCUUAUCACCUAAUAUUGCUCCAGAGCCAAAACCAUAAAUCAAGUGGAAGUUCUACCCUCCCUGAAAUUUGGUAUUCCUUUCUCCAGAGUGUGAAAUCUUGGAGUUUGCUGCGUGAAUAAUUAAAAUGAAUUGCUUCGGGUUCUAUCGCCAACCCUCCCUCAGAAGCAUAUAUAUCCCACAUUAUAGCUUUUUAAAGUUAUCUACAGUAUGUGAGGAACGCUUAGUUUUUCUAAUAUUUUGAUGGCCUGCGAGUCAAGGCAAUAAAUAAAUUAUCACCAGCACAGAUGAUGAUGCACAACGCAUCAAUGACAGAUGAAUGCAGUGUUUGAGCAGGGGGCGCAUUUAAUAAGCUAUAUGAUCUCUAGAUUUCGGUCCCCAAAACCAACCAUAUACCAUUUAUUCAUGUUCGAACCAUCGAAAGUUAAAGUGUGGCGGCAAUUUGUAUUGUGAUUGAUUUUCAUUUUACCCGUUUUGUUCGUUCUUUUCAUCUGCGGACCCCCAUUAAUCAAUGGUCGGUCGCAUUUUGUCCCGCUUUGCAUACUGCAAUUUGUUCCGCUCUUCGGCUGUGCGAGUGCGACAGACAACGAGAGUGAGGGAGAGAACAAUGCUGGGAGUCGACGGUGCGUAGUUUUUUGGCUGCCACUGUUUGGGAUUUAUGACCCUUCAAAAUGCAAUUAAAUUUAAUUGAAGCGCGAACAAAAAAGCUCACGCAAUUGCUCGACUUUUUCACACUUGCACACCACUUUCCGGAUCGCGUAUACGCCCCGCUGGCCAUUUAAUUAAUGGGUUAAAUGUGUUUUUGCAGUUGAAGGCUGGCCGAGGGAUGCGAAAACUGAGCAGUACAAUACAAUUAACAAAAAAUAAAAUGAUAAAAAAAAAUAAAAAAAAUUUAUCUUGCUCCUGCUUUCUCCUCUGCUAGUAGACUACAUCAGACAGAUUUUCCUAGUGGCUUUCCCAAACUUUGCCAAAGUUUUGCUUUGUUCGCCCACUUUUCGUUGCCCGCUUAUCAUUUAUUCAUUUGCUGUCCUUGUGGCAGGACAUGAUUUAUAGGCUGAUUGCUGCACCUGCUUGGGCACAUUUAAGUGCAAUUACCUUUUAUUUGCAUUCUGAGGUGCGAAAAUUUGCAUUUAAUUAUUUAUUGUUGCUGCACUCGCAAUUGUUAUCAUCUGCCGUUGGUUUAUCCUUUUUGCGGUUGGUCGAGGUUGUUGCGGUUCGUCCUGUGCGGUUUUCCUCUCGUUCGGCUUACUAAAUUUAAAUAUAAGUCUAGGAGGAGUGGGAGUGUUUAAAGUAAGCAAUUAAAUGAAGCAGAGAUGACUAUUUUUUGCAAGCAAAAAGUUAAUGGUUUGUUGAAAAAACAAGUGUGGGCACAAUGUAAACCAUUUUAACAAAUGGUUCCAUUUUAUCAGCAGUCACCACUUGCCAGUCGAAUCUUUUAGUAACCCACUUUAUCGGCGGCAAUAUUAUGUCCGUCCAACCGAAAAACCGCAAAAAGCUGAAAAGUUCUAUUCAUAUUUGCGUUAUUCUCAGCCAGAAUCGCACCCACUCACUUCAUUUCAUCAUUCCAUCAGCCAAACAUUUCAGCAGAGCAGCCGCAAUGAAGACUUGUGUCAAUAUUGACGCUCGAAAUCCUUUUAAUUUUUGAAAAAAUAUUCCACAUUCCUGCCCCGGAUGGAGGCAAGGAACUUCCCGAGGGGAAUGGAAUGAAUGGCUGACCCAAGCGUUUUUGUUUAAUUGAAAGCUAGGCAAAUAUGUACUACAUAAGGAUGUAGAUGGAAGCUGUGGGGUAAGGACAGUGGGUGGCAGUGGCUUGUCUAAGCCUCUAAACUGAUUAAGUUUUGAUUGCAAUUUGCAAUUCGAUUUGCAAAGAGCCAAAACUUUGCCGUCGGCUGUCGUCUUUUCACUUUCUGCUCUCUUUUUUUUGAAUAUACCGAAGGUCAUUAAUAUUUCAAUAAUGCUGUCUGGGAUCUGUGAAGCUGGAGCUCUGCGAAUGGCAGUUUGAGUUUAUUAAAGCAUAACGCAGGACGCCUUGGCUUUGUGUUUCCUUUUCCUGUUGCCUGCAUAAUUGACUUUGUCGCUUUUUCCAUUCGCCAUUAUUCCUCAUCAGGCUUUUUGCCCCUGCUACCCCCCUGUCGUGUAUUUAUUUUAGUUGGUUUCUAUGAAGCAAAAAGGAGGAGCAGAGAGGCGAAAUAGGGCUGGCGAAUGUCCUUCCCUUCGCUGAUCCUGGGGUCCGACUAGUCAGACAUGAUUUAUAAUGCUGCUUUCGCCUCGCUUACCCCGCUUUUCCAUUUUCCCCAUUUUCUAUUAGCCCUGUUCCAGGUCCUGCAGCGGGCACUUGUUUCCCUUGUUGUGGUCCUGGUCGCUUAACUUGUCCUUUUCAAUUUUGCAGCUCUGCGGCGCCAGUUGAAUCACGUUUCUCUCAUAGAUUCGCCCUCAUAUUUUUUGCUUUUCCUCACUUUGUCGCCUCAUAAGGAUUUCUUCUUGAAUAAUAUAUAUGUAUAUAUAUUUGUGCUGGCCGCUCUUUUUAUUUAUUGAAAAUUAUAUUAUUUCUUCCAGUUCCCUCUGUUUGCUUUGUGCGGCGGGUCUCUUUCAUUUGCAAUUUAUUGCUUAUAUUGACAAUCAUAAAUUAUUCAAAUGCAAGCACUUCAAUCCUUGCGACUUAUGAAUAAUGCUAAUUGAUUGUGGUUGGCUUUCUAGUGCUAGUGAUGGAGUCUUUCGAAGACUAUAGACAACUAUUGGCUUUAAAUAAGCUUACUUAGUUCCGAUUUCAUUGGAUUUUCCAAGACUAGUUGCUGUGAUUCAUGGCUCAAUCAAUUGUAUGUUAGCCAAGAGCACAUUACCUUAACUUCCACUCGUUUUCAUUUAUUUCUUCCCUUCAUUGACACCUGUCAAGCCUUCGGCUUCUUGGAGAAUUCUAAAAAUCCCCUUCAAAGCUGCCUGCGUAAAUCUCUCACUAAAUCGCAUUUAUCCAGCUGCCUCAAACGGUGGAAAAAAAUGUCAAGUUCGCCCACGAAUAGACACAGACAUUCGCUUUCGUAAUAAAUUUUCCACAACAUUAUUUACAAAAAACUUAAGCGACGUGAUGCGAUUUUUUAAUAUCAAUAUUUGCUUCGACUUUGAAUUGAAGUCCCAACAAAGGCGGCUAAGAGUAUCAAAUAAGUACAAAAUAAAUGUAGAAGCAGGCCAAUUUGGGGCGUAGAACAAGAUGGCUCGUUAGGGGGCGUGGCAGCGCAGGAAACAUCGAACCCAAACAGUUAUCCCCUCCCCCCGAAAGAAGUUGCGUCUGGAAGUUUUGGGUCAUUUAUCAAAUUUUCAAAGUCACAUUUGGUAUUGUCACGCUCGUUUUUUUGUGUUCGGUGGAAAUCGAAAAGGCUUUUCAGUGGAGUUACGCUUUUGCAACCCAGCCAUUCCUUAAAAUCGUCGCGUAUCCUUGGAGGUGUGGCCAAAUUGCCUUGCGUGCUGCCUUCGAUAAAAGUGAGACGUAAUGCAUAGAGAAAGAAAUUGGUUCGACGACGGAAGGACCUCGGCAGAGGGUCACAUAAUGAGUUUCCAUUUUAUUUCCCUUCUUUUCCUGUUUUGAUUAGGGCAAAGAGAAUGGAAACGAGGGAUAAGUGCGGAAUAUAUAUUAGGAAAUAAAGCCAUGUGAAGAGAAAGUCAGAAGUUAGAAGUCAUACUCAACCAGCUAAUAGAUUAAAAGUUCUCUCGGGUGACUGCUAAAAAUUUUAGUUACUUUUUAUAAGCUCUGAAAAAUGAUGGAUGGGUUUUCAUAUCAUUUGAGCAACCUAUUUUCCCUUAACAUCUAUAUUAAAAUAGUAAGCUUAACGUUUUUUCUCAAGAAACUCGAUUUUUGAUCAGCAUUUUAUGGUGACUACUAUCGCUUGCUAAACUUAAUUAAUUCCUGGCAAAGUGCACAUUAAAGUAAUCUUUACUUGAGCUCGCAGGGAUUCCCUCGAGGCAUAAAGGCCAUGUUUAAUCUCCCAAAGUCAGCGCCUUUGUCAUCCUUCUGCAAAUAGGCUUUUCCUGGAGCAUCUGCAGCACUAAACAUGUCCCUGCAUAAAUUGUUUGCUCCUCGGUUUUGGCCAAAAGGGGAUUCCCCGCCAGCGGCGGCGCUACAAAAUGAGUAAUGGACAAACUUUAUCACCUGCGCGAAUGACAGACAUUAACAUAAAAUGCUACAGCAAAGAAUUAAGCUGCAUAAGAACAAAAGCAGCGGGAGCAAUAAUUUUUAAUUUAUUGCGGAAUUUUCAUAAAAACGACAGCAAAAAUGAGCUGGAUGUGGCGAAGGCACCAGAAGAUGACUGCCGGAGCCUAAACAAAUUAUGAACGAGUGUCUCCUCCUUGGUGGCGUUUUUUAUGAUCUUCCUGGCCUGGAAUUCUUUUCCGCAUAAAUGACACGCGUUAAUUACCUGAGGAGUUGGGGGCUGCAAAAUGGGAGGAGCUCUAGUGAUAUCCUGCUAGGAGACGGAUGGAAAUAAUAUUGUAAUUAGUUGACAAGUCACGUAAUUGUAGCUGUACCUAAUUUUUUACGGGCCACGGGCGAUAUUUUCUUAGAAUGUUUGCUAUGAUUGUUUUUCUGAUUUAUGAGUUCACUGUGAGUUGAACUACGACCAGAUGAAUAUAUAUUUCUAUACAGCCUUAAAUUAUAUAUACUUUUAAAAACGGAAGCUAAUGAACUAAAUACAGUGGGUUCCCCUUCUCUUUCAUUACACAACUUAAUAUGCUAGUCACACCCGGAGGAAAAAAUUAAUUUCUCCCUUUUCGAGACCCCGAAUGUCUUCUGUGCCGAAACCAUCCUAAUCAAUAUAAUUACACUGGCUAUUCGAAAAUGUCGCACACGUAGCACAACACAGAGAGAGUGGAGAAAAAUGGCCAGGACUAAGUGAGCGCACGUAGUCAAGGAAAUAAUACACAUACGCACUGUGGGCCAUUGAGAAAUUGUAGGCAAACAUUUGGCCAGACACAGAGAGUUGGCAAAAAAGAAAAAAAAAAGAAAUGAGCCUGAGGCAAGUAAUUGACAAACAUGCCACAUGCUACUAAACACAAAUUAGAGAGGUCGGGCCAGGACAGGGCAAUCAAUUGAUUUUCCAGCCAAGGACCAACAAGGAUCAUUCACCGAAGCUUCGCCUGCAAAUGGACCUGCCAGCGAGUCAAAAAUGUCAAUUAGGAAGCCGCAUUUACAUUUUUUUGCCAUUUUUUUACUAGAGCGGAAUGGGCAAACAAAUGAAUUUUAUGCAAAUUGCAAUUCCGGUUUUCGUUGCCUCUGGAGUGCCAUUUUAUUUAAAUGUGCUUAAAUAUUAUUAUUCGGCCAAAUAGAUGCCAUUUUGUCGGUCCAUAAAGACAUUACGCGCCAUAAAAUAAUUUCUUGUGCGUCGGUGGCGCCCUCUGUCGCCGGACAUUUGGCAGGCUCCAUCUGCUCCAGAUAUUCCCCACAUAUAUGCUGACCCCCCCGCCCCUCCCCCAACUUGUUCACAUUUGUCAGUCUGGUCCGGCUUGGUCUUGUAGUUUUUAUUAUCGGCCGGGUCCUGCGACUGAGCGGCUCGUUUAUCAAGGGCGCAUUAAAGGGAUCCUUCGGCAGGGGGGUUGGGGCUAACAGUCCUGCCAUGUGGCGCCCUCUGCCGGCCGAAGUUGCCAAAUUGCACUGCCUGCAUAUCCUGUUGGUUGACAAACGUGUUUGCUUGGCCAACAAGGAGAGUAGCAGGAAUAGGAACGCCAAAGGAUUCCGAGAUACGUAUAUCGAAUCGGUCGCGCCAUAUUUGUUGUGUUUGGUGGCGAUGGGAAGGGGUGUAAAGGAUGGUCAGGGUGGUCAAGAGGGGUCAGGGGUCAGGGGUGUCUGGCAGACUGCAACUAAUAUCCGUUUCCGUUGUAGACAAAAUGUGUUGCCAUUUGUAAUGCCAAAGUGUUUCGGCGGGGCAGGAAGCAGGACCAAGUUUCUGAAUGCGAAAGCAACAAGCACAAACAAUUUGUUUUGUCC